CGGGAUUCGUUUUGAUAUCGUGGUCCUGCGUCUCCGCGAGACGCCGCUGGGGCGACUUGUCGUGGCGGAAGUUGGACUUCUCGCAGACAACUGCAAGGAUCCUCCCUCUGGACCGGGUGGUCAGGCUCGCUCCAGAGCUGGCUUUGGACUCCGGCUGGCUGAACGGUCCACUCCUUGGUCAGACCUCUUGGAAGGACUGCCCCAGCCAUGUUAUAAAAGGAGGAAACGUCACAGUGGGCAGCCCCCAUUCCUGCGUUAGACAGACAGGAAACAGGCGCACAGUUCUGCAUUGCUACCUGCUUGUCAAAUGAGUAUUGGCCACCCCAGUUCUGUGCAGAGAGGAUGCAAAACAGCAGAGUAUCUGUGGUGCAACUUUCUGGAGCAUCAAUUUUACUACAACGUUUGGAAGAAACAAAGUUAAGUAGUUUCCAAGGUAAGUAAUUAAAAUUUUAAAACCAAAACAAGACUGGAAGUCAUCUGCCAUUAAUAACUGUCAGUAAUUUGUGCCUGAAAUGUCACACUUUCUCUGAAAAAAUGCUAAGGAGAACCUGUUUUCUCUUAUUUUAAAUAGCAAAAAUAAUGACAUUGCAAGUCCUGGAAAAACCCUACCAAUUUCCUAAAUCACAAUAUGACAUCUAGAUAUAAGUUAUAGAUACCAUGUUAGGAUGUAAAAUGCUUGAAAUAGUCCUUCUUGGUCACCUUCCAUUUAUGUGCUUGUUAGCAUGCAGUUGCUUUCGCAGCAGCAGUGGCUUCUCCUAGACCUGCAACAUCAGAUAUUGUACAUCUUGCUGAUAUUCCAAAGCUUUGCAGUGACUAGCAUGAUCAAUGGCCUACCAAUUGUAUUUGGAAGCAACAUGAAGCUUGUCUUGCAAACCAUUUAGUUUAAAAUGUUGUAUUUUUUGAAGACUUGAUGUAAAGUUUAUAUAAAUAUCAGCUGAAAGACGUACUGAGCAAGUAGCUGCUGUUUAGUUUAAGUAUUAAAAACUAAUGUCUUCUUCCAGGAGAACAUUAACUGGGGACGUGUUCUGUGGGGUGUACCUGUAUUAUGAAAGGAUGGCAAAAAUCCCAUUUAUUUUAAAGAUUCAAGUUGUAACUUUGCACAAAAUUGGGCUGAGAAACCCUUUCAGGUUUCCUCCAGAGUUCUUUAGUCCUGUGUCUGUGAUGACUCUUUGCCAACAUCUGCAUACAAAGACACCCUAAGGUUGUGCAUUAAACAGACAGACAUCCUCUGACCCCAGAUUCCUCUCCAGUUACCAUCGGCUUCUCUGCUCCGUUCAAGCGGCCUCUCCUCACGUUCUCUCCUGAACCGAUUCCAUUCCUGCUUCCUCCACUGCACUUCGCUGAAGUGGCUUGUAGCCAGGUCUCCAAUGAUUUCCGUUUUGCUCAAUUCAAGGUUAAGUUCUUAUUCUUAUCUCACUCUUUCAGCUGCAUUCAACACAGAUGAUACAACUGAGCACUUCCUCCUUCCUGAAACACUUUCCUCUGGAUUUCCCAGCCCCCUCCCCCUCACGCUAUCUUCUUCCCCCUGCUCCUCCCCCACCAGAUCUAGUAAUCCUCACCCCCUUCUCUUUGCUCUGUGACCCCUCUUCUCAGAGAGAUCCCAUCCAGUCUCCCAGCUUUGAAUGCCAUCUGCUGGUCACCCCCAGGCCUGGGUUCUCUUCCCUGAGGGGAGCACCCAGGAGUCAUCCUUGGCUCUUCCCUUCUCACCCCACACGCAGUCUCACAGCAAGUCCUGUUGGCUCUGCCUGCAGCGUGCAUCCUGAUUGCAGCUUCUCGCUGUCUCCAUUUCUAGAACCCGGUUCAGCUGCCUUUCUCUCUUACUGGUCUCCUGCCAAGGACAGUCUCCUAACUGUCUCCCUGCUUCCUCUCUUGCCCUCCUCCAGCCAUUCUUCACUCAGCAUGCAGAGUGACCUCUUGAAAGCAUGAAGAGCAAGGAUAUGCACCACCCACCUCCCCAUUCAAAUUCUGCCACUGCUUCUCAUUGUGAGAGAAUAAGAGCUUAGACAACCUGGCCCCUGCCUGCUCCUUCAGCCUCCUCUCCUACCUUCUUGUUGAGACUUACAUGUGAGAUGUUCUGGUAUCUAGAACUGAAAGCAAUCUUAACUCACAAAUAGAUAUCAGAUCAUCGAAUCUAGAGCAAAGGGCAUAGAAGGAAAAGUUGAAGGGAGAAUGAAAGGUGAGAAUUUUUUAAGCGCCAGAAACUAUGAACACAUAACAGAUCUGUAUGAAUAUGCUCAAAAGAAUGUGGUAACAAAGUUAAAAAAAAGUGUGUCAACAGACUUGCAAAGAAGUAGAAAUACUUUUGACCAUAAUUUGCAAACAAAAACUACACUUAGUACACAUUACAUUUCCGGACGUAAUGCAAUAAAAUUAGAAAUAACAGAAAUAGAGAACUUCAAAAUGUUCAGCUUUUUGGAAAUGUUAAAAUAUUGUUGUAAAUAAGUUAAUUCUUGUGUGAGGGUUCAUAUCCACAAAACAAUUACAGUGCCUGUACACACACGAGCUUGCUGAUGCAUCCAGAUGUGUGCAGUGGUGGGGAAAGGACGAGCUCUCUGACCCAGAAGCUUCUGGAACAACAGGGCCUCUGCACACACGAGCUUGCUGAUACAUCCAGAUGUGUGCAGUGGUAGGAAAGGAUGAGCUCUCUGACCCAGAAGCUCCUGGAGUGACAGUGCCUGUGAACACAUGAGCUCGCUGAUGCGUCCAGAUGUGUAUAGUGGUAGGAAAGGAGCUCUCUGUCCAGAAGCUCUUGGAGCGCCAGUGCCUGUGCACACACGAGCUUGCUGAUGCAUCCAGAUGUGUGCAGUGGUGGGGAAAGGACGAGCUCUCUGACCCAGAAGCUCUUGGAGCGACAGUGCCUGUGCGCACACGUGCUUGCUGAUGCGUCCAGAUGUGUGCAGUGACGGGAAAGGAGCUCUCUGACCAGAAGCUCCUGGAACGACAGGGUCAGUGCACACACAAGCUUGCUGAUGCAUCCAGAUGUGUGCAGUGGUGGGAAGGACGAGCUCUCUGACCUAGAAGCUCCUGGAGUGACAGGGUGAUGUUCAUCGGAACCCCAGCAACCCCCUGUGUCAUUUACCAUAUUGUGACCAGUGGGAGCCGGGUGGAGGUGGCCGGGAACUGUAACUGUUACAGAUGCUGGUCAUAAACCCAAGGCCGCCUCCCUUGGUGCCUGCCCUUGACCCUGCUGUUGUUUCCUGCACUGGGGUUCCCGGAAGCCCCACCGCUGGACCUGUGCUGGUGGACAGGACCAGACUGCCCUCUGAUGGCAGCAGUUUGAAAACUGGCACCAGCAGCUGCCGUGGAAAAAAGUGAUGGCCCAGGAGACUGUGUGACCCUCCCACGGAGGGAUCAGGAUCCCAGCAGGGCUCCCGGGCAGGGCUCAGAGCCCGUCUGCUUCCUGCCCUUUCUCCUCUGCUGCUCUCCUCUGACUAUGGGAGUCGGGGAAGCAAACAGUCAUGAAAAAUGGCACUUCUAUUGGCUGUGUCUGUAUGUGGAAGUGCACAAAUGAAGGAAGAUUUUAAAGCAGAACACAGAACAAUUUGUGCUGUCUGAUUAAAAUCUGUCAGAUAUGUUCAUUAACAAGUUUGGAAGAGAAUUUGGAAAUGGCUGAAAUUUUUAAUAAAGUUCAUUCUUUUAGUUUGUUUGAAUUUAAAAAGAUACGUUUAGAAAUAAAUUUGGCCCAUAAAAAAAUUAAAUCUUAG
ensembl:lncRNA